GGACGAACGCUGGCGGCGUGCCUAAUACAUGCAAGUCGAACGGUCUUUUCUAUGGAAGCUUGCUUCCACUGAGAAGAUAGUGGCGAACGGGUGAGUAACACGUGGGUAACCUGCCCAUAAGAGGGGGGAUAACAUCCGGAAACGGGUGCUAAUACCGCAUAGUUUUCUUGAUCGCAUGAUCGGGAAAGGAAAGACGGCCUUUGUGCUGUCGCUUAUGGAUGGACCCGCGGCGUAUUAGUUAGUUGGUGAGGUAACGGCUCACCAAGACGAUGAUACGUAGCCGACCUGAGAGGGUGAUCGGCCACAUUGGGACUGAGACACGGCCCAAACUCCUACGGGAGGCAGCAGUAGGGAAUCUUCCGCAAUGGACGAAAGUCUGACGGAGCAACGCCGCGUGAGUGAAGAAAGGUUUUCGGAUCGUAAAACUCUGUUGUCAGAGAAGAACAAGUUGGAGAGUAACUGCUCCAGCCUUGACGGUAUCUGACCAGAAAGCCACGGCUAACUACGUGCCAGCAGCCGC
rnacentral:rRNA from 1 species